AGUGAACGCUGGCGGUAGGCCUAACACAUGCAAGUCGAACGGCAGCCCAGUAAGAGCUUGCUCUUACGGGUGGCGAGUGGCGGACGGGUGAGGAAUACAUCGGAAUCUACUUUUUCGUGGGGGAUAACGUAGGGAAACUUACGCUAAUACCGCAUACGACCUACGGGUGAAAGCAGGGGAUCUUCGGACCUUGCGCGAUUGAAUGAGCCGAUGUCGGAGUAGCUAGUUGGCGGGGUAAAGGCCCACCAAGGCGACGAUCCGUAGCUGGUCUGAGAGGAUGAUCAGCCACACUGGAACUGAGACACGGUCCAGACUCCUACGGGAGGCAGCAGUGGGGAAUAUUGGACAAAGGGCGCAAGCCUGAUCCAGCCAUACCGCGUGGGUGAAGAAGGCCUUCGGGUUGUAAAGCCCUUUUGUUGGGAAAGAAAAGCAGCAGGUUAAUACCCCGCUGUUCUGACGGUACCCAAAGAAUAAGCACCGGCUAACUUCGUG
rnacentral:rRNA from 1 species